AAAUUCACAAUCCAUGAACAACGCCGCCGUUUCGGUGUCUUACAGAUUCCAAGGGUGCGGCAAGCGAUUAAUGGAUGAUCAUCGAUCCUUCCAAUCACAGAGAUCUGCAUCCUCCAUGUAAUUCUCUUCCUUAGUUUAAUGAUUCUAAUUCAAAUAGCUUUGCUCUCCAUCUCUGGCUCUUACUCCUUCAGAUCUGCUGACUUGCAUAUGUCUUCUUAUAAUCUUCUGCUCUUCAUUGGUUCUGAGAAAGCAUUAAGGAGAUUAGGAGAAGGGGAGAUGUUAAUUCAAUUCAUGGUGUUGGCUUCUCAUUUGCGCUGACUAUUGCGGCAUUCGUACAAAUUCACAUUAUGCCAUAUGAUAUCCAGGUGCUUUUCUGAUCUGUAUUGAACAUAUUUUACGCGCCUUAUAUGGUGGCAUGUCUUGUCAAAAGCAUUUUUCUAGUAGUAGUGAUGAAAAUCUGAGGAAAAACAUGUAUAGAUAAACAAGCAGAAUUCCCAAAAAAAAAAUUGGUUGACAUUUUUUUACCGGAUGAGUAGUUCUUUCAUGAAUCACUACAACUAGCAAUAUAUAGUAAAUGUAUGAACUUCUCUUGGUCGAUAAAUACAUUGUAUAGUUAGUUUUAGAAUUCAAAGAUAAUGGAUCUAUCUAUUCCAUCUACUAAAUAUUUCCUUUGGUUUUGACAUACAAAAUGUUUUCAGUUCAUGUGUGUCAAGAAAAAAAACAAGGGCCCCUUGUUGUCUUCCUGCCCCGGGCCCCGUAUAUAUGUGGACCGGCCCUGACAGCUUAUAGGAAGAGUGGAAAUAUCACAAUCGAUAUUGCGACAUCUAAUCCAAACAACAUAUCAACAACAUCCCUAUUCUUUCUUUCCUAGCUUUAGGAUCAGAUUUAUGCCCUACAGAAGGAGUAAAUCCGACAACCCUAUUCUUUCUUUCCUAGCUUUAGGGUCAGAUUUAUGCCCUAUAGAAGGAGUAAAUCCUUGGCGCUAUUUUUGAUGUUCAAGGGAUUUACAAUCAUGCAACAAGCAUUCCUUGUAGGGUGCAUGUCUAUAGCUCGAGACCACAUCUGUAUAGUGUCCGCUCUAGAGUCUGCUCUUCCAGCAGCACCCGUGUGUGCUUCAGACUCUUUCCUUUCAUAUAUUUCUACCAUGUCGUUCGGAAUAUUUUCAAGAGAUAACCGGGACUGAGUCCUCAUCCUCCGCUUAUUAAUUUUUGAGACAACUUCAUAAUACCCAGCAAUCCGGAAAAUGUAUAAAAAUUAAGAGAAUUGGGUGUAAGGGGCGAGGUGGGACAACUUAAUAGGCGAAUCAACCUUCUAUCACACAAACGACACGAGCUAGCUGAACGAACAACGAUAUUAGUUAUACCGUGGAAGUCAUGAGCUCCAUUCAUCGCACUAGCUACUAUUUUUGCUUUUGUAUGGCUUAAACCGUCCAGGAUAGAUGGGCUGCUUCAUUGGCGCGAGUGAGCCGACUUCUAAGGGCGACGUGCGAAACAGGAAAAAUGAGACAUUAAAAUCGUGUCAAACCUACGGAAACUUUUUUUUUUCACUUACCAUGGCAGUGGUGGGCAAUUUUCAUCGACUAUAAGGAUAAUUGUCACGACGGACGGACGGACAAAGUUUUCAGAGAAAUGCACUGUCCUUUAUUAAUAGGUAUGGAUUGGUGCUAUAAUCAGUUAUACAUGCCAAAACAAGUUUUAGGCUUUUAAAAAAUUGGCUUUGAACUUUUGAAUACACACUCUUCAACCGCCUCUGUUCAUAGGUUGGGAUGCACUUGCGUUCAUACGUUCAUAGAAAUAAGUGCGCAUGCAUGUGGUGAACAUCUUGCUGGUACAUUACCCUUCUUAAAGAAAUAUAAGAGCGUUUAGAUUAUUAAAAAUGCUCUUGUAUUUCUUUACAGAGAGAGUAGUAUGUUGAAGUACUAAACCUUUUCUACACGCAAGAAUGAUAUGCCCUCGCAUUCACGAGAGUCACUCGUGGUUAAAACAAAGGGACUAGAGAGAUCGAUAGAAGCAGAGGGAGUGCUGUAGUGGGCUGGCUUUUACCUCUUGCGUGGUCGUUCUCUCGCCGAGUCGCCGCGCGCCCGUAGGAGGGAUGUUGGGAUCUCGUCGGCCGAGAGAGAGGGAGCGACGGCGGCCGGAACCCCGCCGAGCCGGGAGGAGAUGGAGCAAAACUUGGGUGUAUUCUGGCUGGUGAGCGAGACUGCGAC
rnacentral:lncRNA from 1 species